CAGACUUUGGGAAUGGAAGAUUUACAGCACCACAUAAAUUCUUCUGCACUUGCUCUUGCUUUUGUUUCCUCUUACAAAGGAAGAGAAUAUGUUGAGAUGCUUUGAGGAAUCAGGUUCUCUUCUCACAUAUACCUGGGAUAUUGCUUUUCAUGCAAAGCAAUGAGCUCAUCUUCCCUCUUGCAGUACCAGGAGAAAUUCUCAGCUCCACAGGAUAAAAUCAGCCCAGCACAUCAGCAGGAGGAACACGCACAGCUGAGCAGGGAUGCCCUGUGUGCUCACUGCAGAGUGGCCUUGAGGCUACAAGU